GGAGGAAUAUUGGUCAAUGGACGCAAGUCUGAACCAGCCAAGUAGCGUGCAGGAUGACGGCCCUAUGGGUUGUAAACUGCUUGUAUGCGGGGAUAAAGUCACCCACGUGUGGGUGUUUGCAGGUACCGCAUGAAUAAGGACCGGCUAAUUUCGGGCCAGCAGCCGCGGUAAUACGGAAGGUCCGGGCGUUAUCCGGAUGUAUUGGGUUGAAAGGGAGUGUAGGCGGCCUGUUAAGCGUGUUGUGAAAUGUAGAUGAUCAACAUCUGAACUGCAGCGCGAACUGGCUGGCUUGAGUACACGCAACGUGGGCGGAAUUCAUGGUGUAGCGGUAAAAUGCUUAGAUAUCAUGAGGAACUCCUAUUGCGAAGGCAGCUCACGGGAGUGUCACUGACGCUUAAGCUCGAAGGUGCGGGUAUCAAACAGG
rnacentral:rRNA from 1 species